GGCUAAUACCCGCACAACGUGCGGGUUUUUCCAUCCAUAAUUUGUUAGUUAUAACUAUUUACAUCGAUUGAAUUAAUUUGAUACAUAAUCCUUUUGGUGUUUUUUUUCUUCUAAUAAUCAUUUUGUUAUAUUCCUUUAACUCUCAAGUAAAUAAUUCAUUCUAUGUUUUGUAUUUUAAUUUAUGUUUAAUUACAUUGUUAUAUAUUUGGUUAUCUU
rnacentral:lncRNA from 1 species